rnacentral:piRNA from 1 species
UGCAUCUUGUCGCCACAGGCCUGGGUGGAC